rnacentral:rRNA from 1 species
GAUGAACGCUGGCGGCGUGCCUAAUACAUGCAAGUCGAGCGAACGGACGAGAGGCUUGCUUCUCUGAUGUUAGCGGCGGACGGGUGAGUAACACGUGGAUAACCUACCUAUAAGACUGGGAUAACUUCGGGAAACCGGAGCUAAUACCGGAUGAUAUUUUGAACCGCAUGGUUCAAAAGUGAAAGGCGGUCUUGCUGUCACUUAUAGAUGGAUCCGCGCUGCAUUAGCUAGUUGGUAAGGUAACGGCUUACCAAGGCAACGAUGCAUAGCCGACCUGAGAGGGUGAUCGGCCACACUGGAACUGAGACACGGUCCAGACUCCUACGGGAGGCAGCAGUAGGGAAUCUUCCGCAAUGGGCGAAAGCCUGACGGAGCAACGCCGCGUGAGUGAUGAAGGUCUUCGGAUCGUAAAACUCUGUUAUUAGGGAAGAACAUAUGUGUAAGUAACUGUGCACAUCUUGACGGUACCUAAUCAGAAAGCCACGGCUAACUACGUG